UGCGCAGGCGGUUCGUUGUGUCGGCGGUGAAAGCCCCGGGCUUAACCUGGGAAUGGCCGUUGAAACUGGCGAACUGGAGUGUGGCAGAGGGGGGUGGAAUUCCGCGUGUAGCAGUGAAAUGCGUAGAGAUGCGGAGGAACACCGAUGGCGAGGGCAGCCCCCUGGGCUAACACUGACGCUCAGGCACGAAAGCGUGGGGAGCAAACA
rnacentral:rRNA from 1 species